rnacentral:rRNA from 1 species
GCCUAGCCGUAACACACAAUUAAAUUACCAAUUGUUCGCCAAACAACUACGAGCCAUACUUGAAACUUAAAAGACUUGACGGUACUUCAUCACGGCCUAGAGGAGCCUGUCUAAUAACCGACAAUCCACGAUUAACCCAGCCCCUUCUUGCCAACAGUCUAUAUACCACCGUCGCCAGCUUACCUUGUAAAAGAAAUAAAGUGAGCUAGAUAGUACAACACUAAAACGACAGGUCGAGGUGUAACUUAUGAAGGGGACCAAGAUGGGCUACAUUCUCCAACCGAGAAUACGAAUAACACUAUGAAACUAAUGUUUGAAGGCGGAUUUAGCAGUAAGAUAAGAAUAAAACACUUAACUGAACACAACGCAAUGAAGUGCGUACACACCGCCCGUCAUCCCUGCCACUACAAUAUAAACCUUAAUAAACCAACCUGAAAAAAUCAAACAGGGCAAGUCGUAACAUGGUAAGUGUACUGGAAAGUGUACUUAGAAA